rnacentral:rRNA from 1 species
AUGAAUGCUGGCGGCGUGUCUAAGGCAUGCAAGUCGUGUGGGUUAGACCCACGGCAAACGGGAGCGGAACGCAUUGGCAACUUACCUUGAGGACGAGGAUAAUCCUGCGAAAGCGGGAAUAAUACUCGAUAAUAGUGAGGGGACAAAAGUCAUUCUCACUUAAAGUAGCAAUACACCUCGAGAGAGGCCUAUGUUCUAUCAGCUAGUUGGUAAGGUAAUGGCUUACCAAGGCAAUGACGGAUAGCGGGUGUGAGAGCAUGACCCGCCUCACUGGGACUGAGACACUGCCCAGACUCCUACGGGAGGCUGCAGUCAAGAAUUUUCCCCAAUGGCCGAAAGGCUGAGGGAGCGACGCCGCGUGUAUGAAGACGCCCUUCGGGGUGUAAAAUACUUUUUUCUGGGAAGAAACAAUGACGGUACCAGAAGAAUAAGGGGCUGCUAACUCUGU